rnacentral:misc_RNA from 1 species
GAUGAAGAACGUAGCGAAAUGCGAUAAGUAAUGCGAAUUGCAGAAUUCCAGUGAGUCAUCGAAUCUUUGAACGCACAUUGCGCCCUUUGGUAUUCCGAAGGGCAUGCCUGUUCGAGCGUCAUUAUCACCCCUCAAGCCCUCGGCUUGGUGUUGGACGGUUUGGUGGAGGCCCCCUCGGGGGCUCCCGCCCCUCCCAAAGACAAUGACGGCGGCCUCGUUGGACCCCCGGUACACUGAGUUCUUCACGGGACACGUAUCGGACACAUGGGUUUACGGGACACGGUCUGCCUCCCCUCAGGGAGAAUCUUUCUAAGGUUGACCUCGGAUCAGGUAGGGAUACCCGCUGAACUUAAGCAUAUCAAUAAGCGGAGGA